rnacentral:misc_RNA from 1 species
UCCGGUUUGUCACCGGCAGUCUCUCUAGAGUGCCCUUUCGUAGCAACUAGAGACAAGGGUUGCGCUCGUUGCGGGACUUAACCCAACAUCUCACGACACGAGCUGACGACAGCCAUGCAGCACCUGUGUCCACUUUCUCUUUCGAGCACCUAAUGCAUCUCUGCUUCGUUAGUGGCAUGUCAAGGGUAGGUAAGGUUUUUCGCGUUGCAUCGAAUUAAUCCACAUCAUCCACCGCUUGUGCGGGUCCCCGUCAAUUCCUUUGAGUUUUAAUCUUGCGACCGUACUCCCCAGGCGGUCAACUUCACGCGUUAGCUACGUUACUAAGGAAAUGAAUCCCCAACAACUAGUUGACAUCGUUUAGGGCGUGGACUAC